GUGGUAGGGCUAACGAUGGGUUCAAAUAACGCUAUUUUGCUAAUUGUUUUAUAUAUUACACUUGAGAAACGUCGUGAUAUAUUUAUCAGGGAAUAUGAGAUAUUAAGUGUUUUUAAAACUUUGAGGUUCACCACCAGUUGAAUUUAAAUGUCGGCAUACUGGAUUAAAACUCGAGUACCUCUUCAAAUAUAGGCUAGAACAAGAUAUUGUUCGCUGUUGGGCUUUUUUGGGUAGGCUAAACGAUGAAAAUGACCGAAUAGCCGUUCUUUGCGUUGGAUUCAUGACGACUAAAUCCGAUGCCGUAACCGUUAGUCAGAGACAUUUGUUGUGAAAGAGCGGUACGCUGUGUGAUGAACGGCACACAAAACAUAAGCACUGCGCAGAUGCGACAUCUUGUGGACACUACAUUGUACUACCAAUGAGAUGGCCACAAGGUGGCAGCAUAUCCUACACUCUCCAGCGAAGGGAAGGCACCGCCUCGACUGGAACCGGAACGGGAACCAAAAUCACAAAAACAUAGAAAAUAAAAAAACAUGAGGCCCCCCCAUAACAAGAGUGCCACCUAAUGAGGGAGCACAUCCUGUGCUGGCUGCACCCACAUCAACAACUGAUCCUCCAUGCCAUGACCACGUUCCACCACCAGGGGGCAGCGCUGGGAG